rnacentral:rRNA from 1 species
GAUGAACGCUAGCGGCAGGCUUAACACAUGCAAGUCGAGGGGCAGCACGGGUAGCAAUACCUGGUGGCGACCGGCGGAAGGGUGCGUAACGCGUGAGCAACAUGCCCUAUACAGGGGAAUAAACCAGGGAAACUUGGUCUAAUGCCCCAUAGCAAUAAGAUAAGGCAUCUUAUUUUAUUUAAAGCUUCGGUGGUAUAGGAUUGGCUCGCGUGACAUUAGCUGGAUGGUGGGGUAACGGCCCACCAUGGCGAUGAUGUCUAGGGGUUCUGAGAGGAAGACCCCCCACACUGGGACUGAGACACGGCCCAGACUCCUACGGGAGGCAGCAGUGAGGAAUAUUGGACAAUGGAUGGAAAUCUGAUCCAGCCAUGCCGCGUGCAGGAAGACGGCCCUAUGGGUUGUAAACUGCUUUUCUACGGGAGCAAUAAGGUCUACGCGUAGACUGAUGAGAGUACCGUAGGAAUAAGCAUCGGCUAACUCCGUGCCAGCAGCCGCGGUAAUACGGAGGAUGCGAGCGUUAUCCGGAUUUAUUGGGUUUAAAGGGUGCGUAGGCGGCUUUUUAAGUCAGCGGUGAAAUUUUGCAGCUUAACUGUAACAGUGCCGUUGAUACUGGGGAGCUAGGAUUUGGUUGCUGUGGGUGGAAUGUGUGGUGUAGCGGUGAAAUGCUUAGAGAUCACACAGAAUAUCGAUUGCGAAGGCAGCUCACAAAGCCAAGAUUGACGCUGAGGCACGAAAGUGUGGGGAUCAAACAGGAUUAGAUACCCUGGUAGUCCACACUGUAAACGAUGAUAACUCGCUGUCGGCGAUACACAGUCGGUGGCCAAGCGAAAGCGAUAAGUUAUCCACCUGGGGAGUACGACCGCAAGGUUGAAACUCAAAGGAAUUGACGGGGCCCGCACAAGCGGAGGAACAUGUGGUUUAUUUCGAUGAUACGCGAGGAACCUUACCCG